UUGCACGCUGGCGGCAGGCCUAACCCCUGCCAGUCGAGCGGAUGAAGGGAGCUUGCUCCUGGAUUCAGCGGCGGACGGGUGAGUAAUGCCUAGGAAACUGCCUGGUAGUGGGGGAUAACGUCCGGAAACGGGCGCUAAUACCGCAUACGUCCUGAGGGAGAAAGUGGGGGAUCUUCGGACCUCACGCUAUCAGAUGAGCCUAGGUCGGAUUAGCUAGUUGGUGGGGUAAAGGCCUACCAAGGCGACGAUCCGUAACUGGUCUGAGAGGAUGAUCAGUCACACUGGAACUGAGACACGGUCCAGACUCCUACGGGAGGCAGCAGUGGGGAAUUUUGGACAAUGGGCGAAAGCCUGAUCCAGCCAUGCCGCGUGUGUGAAGAAGGUCUUCGGAUUGUAAAGCACUUUAAGUUGGGAGGAAGGGCAGUAAGUUAAUACCUUGCUGUUUUGACGUUACCAACAGAAUAAGCACCGGCUAACUUCGUG
rnacentral:rRNA from 1 species